rnacentral:rRNA from 1 species
AUGAUACGAGCUAUUCGGUUGGUUUUGGUUGAUGUGUUGCACCGUCUCUGCUCAUGGCACGUGGAAAAAAACAUGCAGAAGCACCUUAAUUACAAAUCGCUAAGUGAGUUCAUGGCACUCUUGUACUACUCCACCUCUCCAGCCAACUUUGAGGCGAGAUGGCACACUUUUGUCCGUAAAUGGAAGACUGAUAAAACAGAAGAGUGGCUGAGUAGGAUGUACAGAAAGAGGAGUCUGUGGGCAGCAUCAUAUCUGUCAGAUGGUUUUUUUCUGGGUAUGCGCAGUAAUCAAAGGAGUGAAAGUCUUAACUCUUGUCUUCACCUGCACUUGGACGGCGGUAUGACUAUUGUUGACCUAGUUGUGCAUUAUGAGAAUUGCAUAGUCCGACUACGUGAGAACGAGGCGCAUGAUGACUGUGUUUCAAAUUAG